GGCGACGUAGCCAAGGGGCCAAAGGCGGAGGUCUGCAAAAUCUCUAUUCGAGGGUUCAAAUCCCUCCGUCGCCUCCA
rnacentral:tRNA from 1 species